AAUCCUGACAAUUUCCUAUUUCCAUGCCCUGUUCCCCCAACACUCAAAGCUGAGACCAUCUUCCUCCUGCCUCUCCCCACCAUGGCCUCCACGCUCCUCUGCUGUGUGGUCUUUUGUCUCCUGGGAACAGGCUCCAUGGAUACCGGUGUUACCCAGACCCCAAGAAAUAGGAUUGCAAACACAGGAAAGAGCAUUGUACUGGAAUGUUCUCAGACUAAGGGCCAUGAGUCUAUGUACUGGUAUCGACAAGACCCAGGACAGGGGCUCCGGCUGAUCUACUCCUCCUACGAUAUCAAUGACGAUCUGAGCCGGGUGCACCCGCCCAAGGUGGCUGUGUUCGAACCCUCGGAAGCAGAGAUCGACCGGACCCAGAAGGCCACGCUCGUGUGCCUGGCCACGGGCUUCUACCCCGACCACGUGGAGCUGACCUGGUGGGUGAACAGGAAGCAGGUCACCACUGGGGUCAGCACGGACCCUGAGCCCUACAAGGAGGACCCCACGCGGGAGGACUCCAGAUACUGUCUGAGCAGCCGGCUGAGAGUGACCGCCGCCUUCUGGCACAACCCCCGCAACCACUUCCGCUGCCAAGUCCAGUUCCACGGGCUCACGGACGAGGACGAGUGGAAGCCGGACAGGGCCAAGCCCGUCACCCAGAACAUCAGCGCCGAGGCCUGGGGCAGAGCAGACUGUGGUGUCACCUCUGCGUCUUAUCAGCAAGGCGUCCUGUCUGCCACCCUCCUCUAUGAGAUCCUGCUGGGGAAGGCCACCCUGUAUGCUGUGCUGGUCAGCGCCCUGGUGCUGAUGGCCAUGGUCAAGAGAAAAGAUUCCUGAAGCCAGCUUAGAAGUGGAGCCAGGAGCUUCUGGCCUGUUGCUGCCCUGAUGUGAGUUCUGCUUUUCCCAUUCCUACCCAGCGCUUCUGAAGAGCUGCCCUCAUCUCUGGACUCAGCCCAGCGUCCACUCCCAUGUGGGGGUGCCCCAAACUCUCAGGACCAGGAUCUCCCUAACCCAGGGGAGACCCUAGGGGGACUGAACUUGCUGAACCAAUAAAAAUGGCCUGUUGUGUUUUCA